GGAUGAAUUGAAUGUUUCUUGUAAUACAAUGGUGAAAUUCUCUAAAAUCUAUGUUAAAGGGAUUUGAGCAGCAAUGCCUUUGAUUGCACAGAUUUUCCACAAUGGCUUUUGACUAUGAAGAAUUUAACAACAUUACGGAUGUAGGAGGCGAACCUGUCUGGCCAAAUACCUGCUGGUUUCUUUAGCCUUCCCUCUUUGCAAUAUGUGUGAGUUUCACUUUCA